UACGAAGGGAGCUAGCGUUGUUCGGAAUUACUGGGCGUAAAGCGUACGUAGGCGGCUAUCCAAGUCAGAGGUGAAAGCCCAGGGCUCAACCCUGGAACUGCCUUUGAGACUGGAUGGCUAGAGUAUGGGAGAGGUUAGUGGAAUUCCAAGUGUAGAGGUGAAAUUCGUAGAUAUUUGGAAGAACACCAGUGGCGAAGGCGGCUAACUGGACCAUUACUGACGCUGAGGUACGAAAGCGUGGGGAGCAAACAGG
rnacentral:rRNA from 1 species